CCGAUAGCUGAGGAUGAGCUCGCGUCUGAUUAGCUAGUUGGAGGGGUAAAGGCCCACCAAGGCGACGAUCAGUAGCUGGUCUGAGAGGAUGAUCAGCCGAUACGACACUGGGACUGAGACACGGCCCAGACUCCUACGGGAGGCAGCAGUGGGGAAUUUUCCGCAAUGGGCGAAAGCCUGACCAAUGGAGCAAGACCGCGUGAGGGAAGACGGCCUACUGGUUGUAAACCUCUUAAGCGCUUGAUAGGGAAGAACACAAUGACGGUACCUAUCGAAUCAGCCUCGGCUAACUCCGUGCCAGCACGAUAGCGCCGCGGUAAUACGGAGGAGGCAAGCGUUAUCCGGAAUUAUUGGGCGUAACGAAUGAGCGUCCGUAGGUGGAUAUUCAAGUCAGUUGUUAAAGAAU
rnacentral:rRNA from 1 species